GUUAUGGCUCAGCGGUAGAGUGCUCGCCUAGCACGUGAGAGGCCCUGGGUUUGAUCCUCAGCAUCACA
rnacentral:tRNA from 1 species